AGGAUUUGGAGCGUCUUAUUUUGCAGGACGAUUACGGAUCAAAUCGAACGGCCUAGUUCUGUAUUAGACGGGUGGGAACCCUACCACUGACUGGAUCUCUGGCAUAAAACCUGGCAUAGUUUUUAUAGAGUAAGCAAAUCUUUGCCCUGCCCUACAAGGUCCCCUCUGGCCUCCAAGUGAGGAGCUCUAGCCUCCCUUCGCCCGGUCCCGGCCACCCCGUACUCUGCUCCUCCGCUCCCGAGGAAGGGGGACACGCCCGCGUGUGUGCCCGCACGUGUGUGUGCAGGGUGUGCGAGUGACGUUUUGCAUCUGGUUGCUGGGAAACGAGGCGGCAUGAAGAGCGACGGCAGGAGAAUUCAAAUCAGAAUUUUAGAGCAGGGAAGUGGCUAGAAAACUGGUCUCAUCUCUUCACGUGACCGAUGGAGAAAGAGGCCCGACGUCCUGAGGUGACUUGCCCUAACAAGUCGGAGGCAGAGCUGGGACUAGUGCCACAUUUGUCAUUUUCCUGGCCCCAUUCUCUGUGUUACUCAGGCUUCGAAACGGGGUUAGAAGAGGCACGGGGGACUGUGUUGACAUACGUGGGUCCCACCGGUGUCUCCUCAAGCACCGUCUCAGAGGGAAGCGGAAAGGGAGGGUGGGCACAGACAGCACAGUAGCUCACAGUCCCGUUCCGAGGUGGUUCUCAUGGGAGGAAGCUCACAACCCACAGCCCCUCCAGCGCCUCCUCUUUUACUAUGGUGGUUUAUUUUAUUUUUUUUUUUCAUCACAAUAAUCUCAUUCGCUCAUCGUGCUCCUCAGCUUCCAGAGCAGCAUCUCGCUCAUUACCCCUUUCGCUCCUUGCAGCCCUGCCACGCAGGCUGAAUAAUUCUCUCAUUUUCCAGAAGAGGGAACUGAGGCAGAAUAGCCCAGUCACGGCCGGAAGAUCGCAGAGAGCUAAAGGCAGAAAGCUUAGCCAAGAACCUAGCCUCAGGCUCUCACCACUAAAUUAUGUGGUUCUUCUAGUUUUCUGACUCUUCCCGGUCUUUCAGUCUUUCUUGGUGGCGGGGGAGGGGGGCGGUGUCAGCCAGGAGCGGUGACCCCGGACGGGGGAAAGAGCAGCCAUGUGUGGGGAGGAGGCACACACUGGCCACACGCGGCCGCCUCCUUCUGGGCCAGGUUCUUGGCAGUGGGAUGAGGAUCGAAGCGUCCGGGAGAGCGGGUAUGUCCUCCUACCUGCCACGGACAGCUCCGUCAUGCGUGUAGGCAGACGUGUGUGUUUACUAAGCCGGGGAGUCCUCAUCCCCUGGGGAGUCCAGAGACUAGCUUUGCACAGACACGUCAUUUUACACAUAUUUACAGGUAUUGAUCUAAACAAAGAAGAAUGUGCAGUGUUCACUACCUUCCCGUCAACGCGUGGGAGGGAAGGCAUGCCAGCAGUGGGGGGCAGGUGUGAGGGUCAGGACGGACAGCCUCUGGGAGCUGCUCGGUGCGCCCCACACCAGCCGAAACCAGACACUGCAGUGUCCUCCUCGCCAAGUCGAUGCGCCCGGGCUGUGCUCACCCCUGAGAGCGUGAGCUCCUAGAGAGCGGGGAAGGUAUCAUGUUCACCUCGGGCAAACCUGGCAGAGCACUUCCUGCUCGGUAAAUGCUCAGUGCACUGAACAUCAGGGAAGAAGAUGAUCCGAGGCCCAGGAGAGAUGACCGGAGGAGGGGGAGGUCAGCUUGGGUGGCAGCCACGUGGAUUUUCACAGAGGGGGCUGCGUGACUGAGACCCAAGAGAAAUCUACCAGCCAGAGAGGAACGCUGGGUUCCCCAUCAUCCUGGAGACGCUACCAAGUCUCCCCUUCUCACUGGCCCACGCGCCACCCGUGGGGUCCCCCCAAGCCCACCCAGAGUCCUCCUCUGAGUCCUUGGCACAAACCCCGACUUCACCACUCGCUCGCCCUGUCUGGGCCUGCCUCGUUCCCGGGACAAAGCCCUUCCUCCUGCAGCUGGGCUGGGGAGCGUAUAAGGCUGGUGCUGUUCUGCCAAUCAGCUCACCCCCUGACCUGGCCGUGUUGUCUUCAAGUACAUGGUUAUCUCACUCUUACCUAAUUGCCUGUGUCCCCCCUUGGGCUGGUUGACUGCACAGCCUAGGCCACUCCCCUUCCCGGCCAUUUUGGGGGCCCUCCUGGGAGCACCCACCCAGAGGGCCGUCACUACUCCAGGCUCCUGGUGCUUGGGAAGGAGAGGGCCACGGAGCUCCGCAGUCAGGCAGGGAACCAGGGGACACGGCGGGAUCCCUCUCGGUGGUGACAUCAGGCCGUUCUCGCCCACGGGACAGGAGGAGGCACACCGCAUGGUCAUGUCAUCAGCCAAACAUGUGCUCAGCCCCCACGCUCCCAGGCCUGGGGGACAGAGGUGGGCGGCUGGCGUGAGAGGCAGGAAGCGAGAACGGAGGAAAGGAGCACAUCCCCGGCCCAGAAUCCUUGAGAAAAGAAGAAAAACCACAAGGGCUCCUGGUGGCCUCUUAGCCUCCCUCCUGCUCAGGCUCAGACCUACUCAGUUCAACUGACGGCAGUCCCAUCGACCCUCACGGAACCCCGUGCUGUUCGCUGGUGGACUGGCCGGUGAGAAUCCGCGUUCGCGGAGGCCGACUUCAGUUACACGCGGAUUUUCGCCGGCACAUCCCGGGAGCCCCUACCCCCUGCACUGUUCAAGGGUCAACUGCGCUCACAAGAAGCUGGCAUAACUGAAUCGGAUCUUAAAGACAGCGAACCCUAUGUCCAUGCUCUCCCCCUUUCUUCCACCUGGCAUCCUGGGGCCGCACGGGCCACGACCCUUGAGACAAAAUGCUCCCACGGAGCCAGGCCUGAAGACAGUGUCCAGACAAGAUGGACAGGGAAGGACGGGGGAAGUGGGGUGGAUGAGGGGGAGGAGGGGGUGAGGGACACACCUGGGGGCGAAGGCAGCAGAG